AGUGAACGCUGGCGGUAGGCCUAACACAUGCAAGUCGAACGGCAGCACAGUAAGAGCUUGCUCUUACGGGUGGCGAGUGGCGGACGGGUGAGGAAUACAUCGGAAUCUACUUUUUCGUGGGGGAUAACGUAGGGAAACUUACGCUAAUACCGCAUACGACCUACGGGUGAAAGCAGGGGAUCUUCGGACCUUGCGCGAUUGAAUGAGCCGAUGUCGGAUUAGCUAGUUGGCGGGGUAAAGGCCCACCAAGGCGACGAUCCGUAGCUGGUCUGAGAGGAUGAUCAGCCACAAUGGAACUGAGACACGGUCCAGACUCCUAAGGGAGGCAGCAGUGGGGAAUAUUGGACAAUGGGCGCAAGCCUGAUCCAGCCAUACCGCGUGGGUGAAGAAGGCCUUCGGGUUGUAAAGCCCUUUUGUUGGGAAAGAAAAGCAGCAGGUUAAUAACCCGCUGUUCUGACGGUACCCAAAGAAUAAGCACCGGCUAACUUCGUG
rnacentral:rRNA from 1 species